GUGCUCACAUUAAGCCCCACAUAUACCAAAAUUAGAACCAUACAGAGAAGAUUAGCAUGGCCCCUGUACAAAGGAUAAUAGCAAAUUUGCAAAGCAGUAUUUAUUUAUU
ensembl:snRNA U6 U6 spliceosomal RNA